UCAAUUGAAAGAAAAACUAGUUAUAAAACACCAAAAAAUAAGAACCAAAAAAUAAGAACACCAAAAUAUAUUUGCCAACACUGCACAUUUGACACAUUCGGUUUUCAGUGCUGACCAUACCUUAUUUCAAGUUCUGGUGACAUUAUUAGAAAAUUAAAAAAGCCUGAAUACAGUGUUCCAAACAAGAAGCUUGAAGUAAAUACUUACUAUUACUUCAGUACGAGUUACAUACAUCAAAAACAGAAAUAAAUUCUUGAGUCUCUCAUCAAUUAAAAGAAAAGCUAGUUAUAAAACACCAAAAAAUAAGAACCAAAAAAUAAGAACACCAAAAUAUAUUUGCCAACACUGCACAUUUGACACAUUCGGUUUUCAGUGCUGACCAUACCUUAUUUCAAGUUCUGGUGACAUUAUUAGAAAAUUAAAAAAGCCUGAAUACAGUGUUCCAAACAAGAAGCUUGAAGUAAAUACUUACUAUUACUUCAGUACGAGUUACAUACAUCAAAAACAGAAAUAAAUUCUUGAGUUAAAAAGUAAGAAACCAAACAAAACAUAAUGGAUCAACAACAGAAAUUUGAAGCCACCGUAGCGAAAUUCCGCGAAAGCUUGGAAAAAGUGAAUAAGGAAAGAUCUAAAGCAAAAGUUUUAACUGAUGGUUGGCAGCCUACAAAGCAGAAGAACAAUCGACAUCAGAUAGUUUACGAACCUCGUCCUCCGUUAAAAGGGCAAAUGAAGAAGAAGAUGCCAAAUUCAAAUGACAAACUAUCUGUUGCGCAAAAGCGCAUUCUUCAAGACAGAAGAUUAAAGGCCAGGACUGUGCAGAAGAAACCAAAAAUUUUACCUGAGGACAGAGUAAAGGAGAAACAACUGAAACAAGCUUCAGCAGUCCCGCCUCAAUCAAACUAGCUACCAAAUGGCGUUUCAUUUCUAAUGUGCUACCAAUUUCAUAAAAAUCGUCACAAACUUUAAUAUGCAUCCAGUGUAUGCAAAAAAUCAACAACUCCACCGUCCAAGUAGCUCCACGCACAUGUAGAAAAUAAGGAUUAGUCGUUAAGUUUUUGCAAUGUACUUUUGUCAAAUGGAUCCCACUAAUUUGAAUGAUAUACCUAAUUAUAAUACGGAAUUUAUGGAUUUUGAGUAACUUAGUCACUUUUUUGUCGAUAGAUGUGGUCUGUUAAUGGG